rnacentral:rRNA from 1 species
UUCCGGUUGAUCCCGCCGGAGGUUACUGCUAUCGAGGUUCGACUAAGCCAUGCGAGUCGAAUGUAGCAAUACAUGGCGUACUGCUCAGUAACACGUGGACAACCUGCCCUUAGGUUGGGUAUAAACCCGGGAAACUGGGUGUAAUCCCCUAUAAGUCUCGGCUGCUGGAAUGCACCGAGAUUAAAAGCUCCGGCGCCUAAGGAUGGGUCUGCGGCCUAUCAGGUAGUAGUGGGUGUAGCGUACCUACUAGCCUACGACGGGUACGGGUUGUGAGAGCAAGAGCCCGGAAAUGGAUUCUGAGACACGAAUCCAGGCCCUACGGGGUGCAGCAGGCGCGAAAACUUUACAAUGCUGGCAACAGCGAUAAGGGAACCUCGAGUGCCAGGUUACAAAUCUGGCUGUCGAGAUGCCUAAAAAGCAUUUCAUAGCAAGGGCCGGGCAAGACCGGUGCCAGCCGCCGCGGUAACACCGGCGGCUCGAGUGGUAACCGUUAUUAUUGGGUCUAAAGGGUCUGUAGCCGGCCGGAUAAGUCUCUUGAGAAAUCUGGCAGCUUAACUGUCAGGCUUUCAGGAGAUACUGUCUGGCUCGAGGCCGGGAGAGGUGAGAGGUACUUCAGGGGUAGGGGUGAAAUCUUGUAAUCCUUGAAGGACCACCAGUGGCGAAGGCGUCUCACCAGAACGGACCUGACGGCAAGGGACGAAAGCUAGGGGCACGAACCGGAUUAGAUACCCGGGUAGUCCUAGCCGUAAACGAUACUCGCUAGGUGUCGGCCACGGUGCGACCGUUGUCGGUGCCGUAGGGAAGCCGUGAAGCGAGCCACCUGGGAAGUACGGCCGCAAGGCUGAAACUUAAAGGAAUUGGCGGGGGAGCACCACAACGGGUGGAGCUUGCGGUUUAAUUGGAUUCAACGCCGGG